rnacentral:rRNA from 1 species
GGCGAACUGGUGAGUAACAGGUGGGUAACGUGCCCUGAAGUGGGGGAUAACACCGGGAAACCGGUGCUAAUACCGCAUAUGGUGUCAAAAACCUUGGUUUUUGCCAUUAAAGCAGUAGUGCGCUUCAGGAUCGGCCCGUCCCCGAUUAGCUAGUUGGUGAGGUAAUGGCUCACCAAGGCAACGAUCGGUAGCUGGUCUGAGAGGAUGGUCAGCCACACUGGAACUGAGAUACGGUCCAGACUCCUACGGGGGGCAGCAGUCUAGAGGCUUCGUCAAUGGGGGCAACCCUGAACGAGCGACGCCGCGUGUGGGAUUGAAGGCCUUCGGGUCGUAAACCACUGUCGAGUGGGAAGAAUGCCUUGAUGGCGAAUCAGGGAGCGACGGUACCACUAUAGGAAGCCCCGGCUAACUCCGUGCCAGCCGCCGCGG